rnacentral:lncRNA from 1 species
CGGGUCCGGGGGCUGAGCGAGUCUGGCGCGGUGGCCUGUCCGGGCCGUGGGGAGGGCCCGAGCGGGAGGUGGGAGCUGUCGGCGGGGCUCCCGGAGGGGUCGCCCCGGGUGCCCUGCGUAGUCCCUGUGGGCCGGAGCCUGGGGCCCUGGAAGGCGUCGCGAGGGGUUGCGGCCGCGGCCUUUCCGGCCUUUCGGGCUCGCCCGCCUGACGGAGGGGCGGCGCAGGACGCGCCCCCACGCCGCGGAGACCCUGGGAACUCGCCGGAGCUGAGAGACGGUGGGUUGGGUGCGCCCGAAAGAGUGGAAAUGGAGGCCUGGGUGCUGUCCUUUGGGGUCCGAGUACUGGAGGAGGCUGUCCCUGGUCCCCAGGGCUGGUGGAUGCCGGAGUCCGCGGGGUUGGUGGGUCACCUUGGUGCAGAGCGUGGAGCGAGUUCAGAAGGGGAGCGUGACUCGCAGCGGCACCUCACCAGGUGUGCCCCCCAGUUCAGGUCGUGGGCCCAGGGCGCCAACACGAGAAUGCUCCCCGUUACCGGCGUCCUCCGGGUCCUCGGCUGCUCUAGCGCCACCCUGUCAGCCCUUAGGAUUUUCCUUCCGGGGUCCUUGUCCCGUCCACCAGGGAAUUGGUCUGCGGAGGGACGCAGGGUUCGCACUUCACCUCGAAAUGCGGAGCGAUUCCGUCUCGUCCGUGGCGUAGUCACGUUCGAGUCAGUGCCAGAGACUAUUCCCAUCCUUCAGACUUCCUCUGUCACUGUCUCCAGGUCAUUAAAGAGGGGGACAAAUUGCUGCCCCUAGCCACCUAGCCCUUGUUCUUUGCUUGCUUUCCGCCGCGGGGUUAGAAUGGCUCACCUUUGAUGAGUGCCUCUGUGCCAGACCUUGUUGAAGACCUCUGGGAGUGUUAACAGCAAAGGCACGACUUUAUAAAGUGGGGACCACCUGUCCUUACAGAUGAGGAUGAGAAGAUAAGUAAUCACUAAUAAGUUGAAGAACCAGGAUUCAGAUCCAGGACAGGCUGACUCCAGAGCCCCUUCUAGGAUUUUUUUUCUUUCCUCUGGGGUGCUGGGGUUUGAACCCAGGGCCUUGCAUAUGCUAGCACAGGCUCCUCCACUGAGCUCCACUCCCAGCCCUCCAGAGCCCCUUCUGUACUGUCCCUCAGUAACUGUCUGCAGUAGGUAUUCCCAGCCACUUUUGACAACUGCAGAAACAAUUGAGACUGGAAAUAAUUUUUAAGAGUUCAGAUCUUCAAACUUCCACUAAGUGAGUUUGGAGAUUUAUUAAACUUUAUGGUUCUAAGUAAGAGUUCAUUCUUAUUAUCAUCAUUAUAAUAUCCUUUUAGAAGGCAAUUAAAUUUUGGGGAAAGAAGCCAGAAUUCAUUUAGAUACUGUCCUCUUCCUGAUUAAAAGAAUGGCUAAGGUUAUCGAGGAACUUCAUCAAAGCUGCAGUUUGCCUCAAAAGCAAAACGAGAACUUAGGUCUCAUGACAGUUUUGUUGGAACAGUUUUCUGCACUCAAGGAUGUUUUGUCACAUCAAAGGUAAGGCCUCUCUCUGGGAACAGUGGCAUUCUCCAAGGGAUUCAUCAUGUAGAAUCUGGACAAAUCCUGGUUUCUUGCAAGAGGGCAUAUUUUCUGGUGUCAAGCAAUUAAUUUGUGUGGUAGAGUCAGGAAGACUUAGGUUGUUGACUGAUUCUUACUAAUUAUGAGCUGUGUAACUACAUAAAAGCUCUCACUUGCCCAGAGACUUCCUUUGUAAAAUGGUGACAAUAUCCUCUACUUUGAUGAUUGUGGAGAUUAAAAGAGAUGAUUAAUAUAUGUAGCAUACCUCAUAAAUCUCUGUUAGUGAAUAGGUGGCUGAGAGAGAGAGGCACGAAGAGGGACUGGCUGUGUUCAACCUGAAAACCCAGAGCAGAGGGGAACCCUAGUUGUAGGCUACAAAUUCCCCUGUGGGUAUCUGGUCUGUGGAGAUGGAGUGGGGAUGGGGGCAAAAGCAAAUGCGGCUGAAGGUAAGGGAAGGUUUCUACGCUGUGAUUCCUAGUGCUACUUGGUCUCUCACAACUCUCUCCUCUUUCAGCUCUGUGCUUGAGGCAAGGCCCUUUUCCAAAUAAAGAGCCAGCAAGAAGUGGAGGUGACAAGAACUGAACUUGUUAAAGCCAUGUGCCCGGUGAGUUAAUGUUCCCUUUCUCCCCACUAAAGUCUCACUUUUCCUGAUUUUGUUCAGUUUGCUUUUUUCUGAAACUUGUCUAUUUAAGAGUUCCAGGCAGGCAUGGUGGUGCAUACCUAUAAUCCCAGCAACUAGGAGGCUGAGGCAGGAGGAAUGCAAGUUCAAGAGCAGCUUGAGCAACUUAGUGAGGCCCUAUCAAAAACAAACA